GAGAUACUACCAGUUUUGGGAGUCCAGGAGACACGGCUGGUAAUGGUUGCUUCCUGCAGUAUGUCUUUCUGACCAGGACCUGCAACUGUUAUGCAGCCCAGCAGAAGGAUAACUCAGUCAACAAAGAGCUGCCAGGGGGUUCACAUCGGAAGAGGCCACCAUGGAGAUCCAGGAAAAAGGCCUAGAUCUCCAGAAUGACCAAGGAUAAGUAAUGAGGGUUGACUAUACAGAACCAAACUGCUGCAAAACAGACUUUUUGCAACACAUUUCUGUUGAGUUUCAGAACUUACAGAGCCAGACUGGACGAGAAAGUCUCCUAAGGAUCCCUUGGUGUGAGCCACAUGGACAAGAAGACCCCAUGUUGCUGUGAGCCUGCCUUGCUAAGCUGCUGCUGGAUGAAAACUCAACCUUCCAAAUGGACAUGAACAAAAGGUUGAUCCUGCCUGAAUACCUGAAACUCUGGAGAGUUUCUCUGCCGGUGAUCUGUCUGCGCGAUCUCAGUAGGACUCUGGAGAGCAGCCUCAGUCAAGUACCUGCCUGCCCGCUCUCAGAAGAUUACUGGA